AUCUCUCUACCUAAUCACUUUCUCUCCCAAGUUCUCAACAAAACAACCACCACCAUCAUCACUCCACUACAACCACCACCGUCAUCGCCGCACCAACACUGCAGCACCACCACCUCCACCAACACCGCAGCACCACCACCAUUGUAGCCCCUCCACCACCGCUGCACCACAUCGGAAAAUGCUAACGAAGAAUGAAAGCCAAAUCGGAGACGAUUAAGGGCAUGUUUGGGUAAGCUUAUUGAAACAACUUAUUGACUUAUUGGCUUCUUGGAAAAGUCAGGAUUUUGUGACUUAUUGACUUAUUGGCUUUUCCCCCUCACAUACACCCUCUUUGCCAAACAUCAUUUUAGAGCUUAUGACUUUUCAAAAAGCCAAUAAGUCAAUAAGUUGUUUCAAAAAGCUUACCCAAACAUGCCCUAAAGCUUACCUGUGACUACUACCUUACAUCGUUGUUGUCAGCCACUAUUUACCUGCACUAGUUGCUGUUGAAGUUUGCUUUUUAAAUCAGAAAAUUUUUGGGGAUGUGAAUCAAAUAGAUUUGGGGGAUGUGAAAGAUUAUAGAUCUGGUUUUGGGGAUUUUGGGGGACGGUGGUGAUUCAGAUAUGGGGGGCUGGUGAUUCAGAAGAUGCGGAGGGUCGAUCCAGACUUUAGAAGAUAUAGGGGUUACUUGGAGAUUGGUGUCAAAAAGUGUAUAAAACCAGUGUAGUACCCUCUUGUAUGAGAGUUGAAUGUUUAGUAGAUGAGUUUGGCUCCAAAACCAAGAGGCUAAAAGGAAUUGGUAUUGGUGCUUCUGACGUUCCUAUUUCCCUUGAUGACUUCCGGAAACUUCAACGAUCAGACUUGGAAUUAAGGAAGCACUUGGAAGAUCAAGUUGCAACCAUUGACCAAUUACAGAAUGAACACUGUGUAGCCACUGAGCUUCAUGAAAGUUGUAUUAGCUUUAUUGGGAGAGAUAGAGACAAAGAAGAGAGAGAAAUUUAAAUAAAUUAAUUUUUUUAUUUUUUAA